rnacentral:lncRNA from 10 species
CUUCACACUGUUAGUCACUCUGCCUUGGUCUGUCACUGUGCCCGGCUGCCUCUGCUGCUUGUUCUCCUUCAUUGCCUGGGUGAAUGGGAGGUCAGAGCUUGCAGGCAGGCAUGCAAGUAGGCAAGGGGCUCCUUAAGAAGCAGAAGCCUGGAGGGCAUCAACUCCCUGCACCACCACCCUGGCCGCUGCACAGCUGACCUGGUUCAUGAGGGAAGGCCUCUGGGCUCUUUAGAAAGAUAAAAUUACUGAGCAGGCACGGUGGCUCACACCUGUAAUCCCAGCACUUUGGGAGGCUGAGGCGGGUGGAUCACAAGGUCAAGAGAUAGAGACCAUUCUGGCGAACACGGUGAAACCCCGUCUCUAUUAAAAAUACAAAAAUUAGCUGGGCGUGGUGGAGCUUGCCUCUAGUCCUAGCUACUUGGGAGGCUGAGGCAGGAAAAUUGCUUGAACCUGGGAGGCGGAGGUUGCAGUGAGCCAAGAUCGAGCCACUGCACUCCAGCCUGGUGACAGAGUGGGGAUCCAUCAAAAAAAAAAAGAAAGAAAGGAAAGGAAAGGAAAGAGAAAGAAAGAAAGAGAGAGAGAAAGAAAGAAAGAAAGAAAGAAAAAAGAAAGAAAGAAAGAAAGAAAGAAAGAGAAGAUUGCUAAAGAAAGCAGAAGGUGGCCAUCUGCCCUGAGCACUUCCCAUGCACAACUGGACCAGCAGACAGAAACUGCAGCUCUGCCACCAACUAGAUCUAAGAUACUGGGCGAGGAGUCAUAGUUCUCUACAUCUAAGUUUCUUAUCUAUAAAAUAAAGAAAAGGAAAUCUAUUCAUUUGUGAUCUGAAACCCCAUGGAGUGGGUCCAGUCUACCAAACUCUGUUGGCUGGGCCCAUGAUGCCAGGCCAUUCGGCAGGCCAGCUGAGGAGAGCUGCUUCUUCCAUACACCUUGGGGAAAAGUUCAGAAGUUCCCAAGAAGCUGGGGCCCAUCAAGCUUCCCAUCUACACAUUCAGCACAGUCCUGGGUCCCAGAACAAUCUAUUGAGGCAACAUGUUCCAGAAUCUUAACAGAAGCUUGGUUUGGAACAGCCAGACUGGAAGCCGCCCAAUAUACAUCAAAAAGGGCAUGGAUAGAUGGAUCAGCAUAUAUUCAUACAAUGAAGUACUACAAAGCAAGGAAAAUGAACAGCAACAUGGAUGGAUCUCACAAAUGUAAUAUUGAGCAAAAGAAGCCAGAUGCAAGAGUCCAGAUCACAUAAGUUCAUUUACGUGUCUAUUUCAAAAGCAGGCAAGAGGAAGGUGUGGUGUUAGAAAUUAAGAUGUGUACAGUGGAAGAAAUGGGCAUAAUAAGAAGAGGGCAUGAAGGAGGCUUCUAGGGUGCUUGUUUUGCUUUAUGUCUUGACCCAGGUGGUGCUUGACACAGAUGGGGCUUGUGUGGUCAUUAAGUGAGCUUCUGCAUAUGUGUGUUUUAAUUCAUAAUAAAAAAGUUUAAAGUCCAUAACGCCAUCACCCAGGAAACAGGGAAAUGCUGGUGGUACACAGUCUAAGUCCAACUUUGUUCCAUGCUGUGGAACUAGGCAUGCAACUCCAAGAUUUACACUUGUCUGUGGUAGUCCCAGACCACAGUAGAACUGGGCUCCUGGGUUUUCUUUUGUUUCUAAACAUCUGUUUUCUAGAUGCCCUCCUAGGCAACUUUCCAAGGACACACCAGCUCAGCAAUGCACCCUC